rnacentral:rRNA from 1 species
AGUGAACGCUGGCGGUAGGCCUAACACAUGCAAGUCGAACGGCAGCACAGGAGAGCUUGCUCUCUAGGUGGCGAGUGGCGGACGGGUGAGGAAUACAUCGGAAUCUGCCCAGUCGUGGGGGAUAACGUAGGGAAGCUUACGCUAAUACCGCAUACGACCUUCGGGUGAAAGAGGGGGAUCGCAAGACCUCUCGCGAUUGGAUGAGCCGAUGUCGGAUUAGCUAGUUAGCGGGGUAAUGGCCCACCAAGGCGACGAUCCGUAGCUGGUCUGAGAGGAUGAUCAGCCACACUGGAACUGAGACACGGUCCAGACUCCUACGGGAGGCAGCAGUGGGGAAUAUUGGACAAUGGGCGCAAGCCUGAUCCAGCCAUACCGCGUGGGUGAAGAAGGCCUUCGGGUUGUAAAGCCCUUUUGUUGGGAAAGAAAUCUUUCAGGCUAAUACCCUGGGAGGAUGACGGUACCCAAAGAAUAAGCACCGGCUAACUUCGUG